rnacentral:rRNA from 1 species
AACGAACGCUGGCGGCAGGCCUAACACAUGCAAGUCGAACGCUGUAGCAAUACAGAGUGGCAGACGGGUGAGUAACGCGUGGGAACCUUCCCAAUGGUACGGAAUAGCUCAGGGAAACUUGAGGUAAUACCGUAUAAGCCCCUAGGGGGAAAGACUUAUCGCCAUUGGAUGGGCCCGCGUCGGAUUAGCUAGUUGGUAGGGUAAUGGCCUACCAAGGCAACGAUCCGUAGCUGGUUUGAGAGAAUGACCAGCCACACUGGGACUGAGACACGGCCCAGACUCCCACGGGAGGCAGCAGUGGGGAAUCUUGGACAAUGGGCGAAAGCCUGAUUCAGCCAUGCCGCGUGAGUGACGAAGGCCUUAGGGUUGUAAAGCUCUUUUGCCGGGGACGAUAAUGACGGUACCCGGAGAAUAAGUCCCGGCUAACUUCGUGCCAGCAGCCGCGGUAACAC